rnacentral:rRNA from 1 species
UAGUUCGGGAUAGCCACUGGAAACGGUGAUUAAUACCGGAUACUCCUUCUUGUUAUAAGACAAGUCGGGAAAGUUUUUCGCUAAGGGAUCAGUCUAUGUUCCAUCAGCUCGUUGGUGAGGUAAUGGCUCACCAAGGCUAUGACGGAUAUCUGGUUUGAGAGGAUGAUCAGACACACUGGAACUGAGACACGGUCCAGACUCCUACGGGAGGCAGCAGUGAGGAAUAUUGCACAAUGGAGGAAACUCUGAUGCAGCAACGCCGCGUGGAGGAUGACGCAUUUCGGUGUGUAAACUCCUUUUAUUAGGGAAGAUAAUGACGGUACCUAAUGAAUAAGCACCGGCUAACUCCGUGCCAGCAGCCGCGGUAAUACGGAGGGUGCAAGCGUUACUCGGAAUCACUGGGCGUAAAGGGUGCGUAGGCUGGCUUUUAAGUCAGAUGUGAAAUCCAAUGGCUCAACCAUUGAACUGCAUUUGAAACUGAAAGCCUAGAGUUCAGAAGGGGCAGAUGGAAUUAGUGGUGUAGGGGUAAAAUCCGUAGAUAUCACUAGGAAUAUCAAAAGCGAAGGCGAUCUGCUGGGAUGAUACUGACGCUGA